rnacentral:rRNA from 1 species
AGUUUGAUCCAGGCUCAGGACGAACGCUGGCGGUAUGCUUAACACAUGCAAGUCGAACGAGAAGGAAGAGCUUGCUCUUCCUGAAAGUGGCGAACGGGUGAGUAACGCGUGGGUAACCUACCCCUUGGAAAGGAAUAGCCUCGGGAAACUGGGAGUAAUGCCUUAUAAGAUACGUUUGUCGCAUGGCAUUUGUAUUAAACGCUCCGGCGCCAUAGGAUGGACCCGCGUCCCAUUAGCUAGUUGGUGAGAUAACAGCUCACCAAGGCCACGAUGGGUAACCGGUCUGAGAGGGCGAACGGUCACACUGGAACUGAGACACGGUCCAGACUCCUACGGGAGGCAGCAGUGGGGAAUAUUGCGCAAUGGGGGCAACCCUGACGCAGCAAUACCGCGUGAGUGAAGAAGGUUUUCGGAUCGUAAAGCUCUGUUAUUGGGGAAGAAAAAAAGACGGUACCCAAGAAGAAAGUUCCGGCUAACUACGUGCCAGCAGCCGCGGUAAUACGUAGGGAACAAGCGUUGUCCGGAUUUACUGGGCGUAAAGGGCACGCAGGCGGUUUUUUAAGUCAGAUGUGAAAGGCCACAGCUCAACUGUGGACAUGCAUUUGAAACUGAAAGACUUGAGUAUUGGAGAGGCAAGUGGAAUUCCUAGUGUAGCGGUGAAAUGCGUAGAUAUUAGGAGGAACACCGGUGGCGAAGGCGGCUUGCUGGAAGUUUGAUCCAGGCUCAGGACGAACGCUGGCGGUAUGCUUAACACAUGCAAGUCGAACGAGAAGGAAGAGCUUGCUCUUCCUGAAAGUGGCGAACGGGUGAGUAACGCGUGGGUAACCUACCCCUUGGAAAGGAAUAGCCUCGGGAAACUGGGAGUAAUGCCUUAUAAGAUACGUUUGUCGCAUGGCAUUUGUAUUAAACGCUCCGGCGCCAUAGGAUGGACCCGCGUCCCAUUAGCUAGUUGGUGAGAUAACAGCUCACCAAGGCCACGAUGGGUAACCGGUCUGAGAGGGCGAACGGUCACACUGGAACUGAGACACGGUCCAGACUCCUACGGGAGGCAGCAGUGGGGAAUAUUGCGCAAUGGGGGCAACCCUGACGCAGCAAUACCGCGUGAGUGAAGAAGGUUUUCGGAUCGUAAAGCUCUGUUAUUGGGGAAGAAAAAAAGACGGUACCCAAGAAGAAAGUUCCGGCUAACUACGUGCCAGCAGCCGCGGUAAUACGUAGGGAACAAGCGUUGUCCGGAUUUACUGGGCGUAAAGGGCACGCAGGCGGUUUUUUAAGUCAGAUGUGAAAGGCCACAGCUCAACUGUGGACAUGCAUUUGAAACUGAAAGACUUGAGUAUUGGAGAGGCAAGUGGAAUUCCUAGUGUAGCGGUGAAAUGCGUAGAUAUUAGGAGGAACACCGGUGGCGAAGGCGGCUUGCUGGA